UAGUCAUAUGCUUGUCCUAAAGAUUAAGCCAUGCAUGUGUACGUUCAAGCCCUUGUACGGUGAAACUGCGGAUGGCUCAUUAUAUCAGUGAUAAUUUGGUUGAUGGAGAGAUAUCGUGGAUAACCGUGGUAAUUCUAGAGCUAAUACAUGCAGAGCAGACGCAAGUCUGGCAUUUAUUAGAUAAAGCCUUGGCGGGGGGCUUCGGCCCGCUGCUGCGGUGAGAGAUGAUAACUGGGCGGAUCGCGCUUUGGCGCGACGCAUCAAGGAAAUUUCUGCCCUAUCAACUGUGGACGGUAGGAUCGAGGCCUACCGUGGUGGUGACGGGUACGGGGAAUCGGGGUUUGAUUCCGGAGAGGGAGCCUGAGAGAUGGCUACCACUUCCAAGGAAGGCAGCAGGCGCGCAAAUUACCCAAUCCCGAGGCGGGGAGGUAGUGACAGGACAUGACGGGGCGGGGCCUGAUGGCUCUGCGACUGGAAUGAGGAAAAGAUAAAGCGAUUGACGAUUAACGAUU
rnacentral:rRNA from 1 species